UGGGGAAUUUUGGACAAUGGGCGCAAGCCUGAUCCAGCCAUUCCGCGUGAGUGAAGAAGGCCUUCGGGUUGUAAAGCUCUUUCGCAAGGGAAGAAAACUUACUUUCUAAUAAAGAGUGAGGUUGACGGUACCUUGAUAAGAAGCACCGGCUAACUACGUGCCAGCAGCCGCGGUAAUACGUAGGGUGCGAGCGUUAAUCGGAAUUACUGGGCGUAAAGCGUGCGCAGGCGGUUUUGUAAGUCAGAUGUGAAAUCCCCGAGCUCAACUUGGGAACUGCGUUUGAAACUACAAGACUAGAAUAUGUCAGAGGGGGGUAGAAUUCCACGUGUAGCAGUGAAAUGCGUAGAGAUGUGGAGGAAUACCAAUGGCGAAGGCAGCCCCCUGGGAUAAUAUUGACGCUCAUGCACGAAAGCGUGGGGAGCAAACAGGAUUAGAUACCCUGGUAGUCCACGCCCUAAACGAUGUCUACUAGUUGUUGGUGGAGUAAAAUCCAUGAGUUACGCAGCUAACGCGUGAAGUAGACCGCCUGGGGAGUACGGUCGCAAGAUUA
rnacentral:rRNA from 1 species